UACGUUUUGCCAACGUAGAGGCGUAGACACGAGAAGAAAUCCCCCGAAGGAGCCGGUGGUUGGGAAAGAAUCUCCCUAGGGAGCCGGUGAAGAAGAACGGAGUUGGUUUGCCAAAAUAGUCGAUGAUCGUUAUAGACGAUCCUCUUCUUUAUUUAAAUGGUUGUUUGUCCAAUACUAGUUUGCCAAGUGGCUUAUACAAUUUGUAAUUGGUUAUUAACUGAAAUUAGUUAGAAUUUAUAUUCAUAAUCUUUGCUGCGAUUGCUUUGCUUGACCCGGCUGGAUCGUCGGCGUGUCACCUCGCCGAUGUCAUCCUGCUCCCUCCUGUCCUCGCUUGUGGUUUCUACGUUAAUCUCCAGCUCUUCUCGAAGCUUCUGCACUACCUUGACUAUGUCUAGUUUGACUGUAACAUUCCCACCCCCAUCGCGACAAAUCUUGUCCUCAAGAUUAGUGGUCGCCGACAACUCCUUUAUGAAAUCGAUGUCCUCCCAUGAUCUGUUUUCAGCCGGCAGUCCCACCCACUCCACCAAUACCUGUUUGAAUUCCCUGCCAUGUUGUUUAAUCGCGCGAUAAUCUACUAUUUUUGAUGGGCAUACCACUGGAUGGGCUUCCGUUGCCAAGGGCGGUAAUGGGUUGACAAUCUCUUCCGGUAACGUUCCCUGAAAUGGCUUUAGUAGGGCUAUGUGAAAUACCGGAAAUAUCAAGCUUCCCGGUGGUAGCUUUAACCGAUAAGCUACUGUGCUUAUUUUUUUCUCCACCUGAAACGGACCAUAGAAUCUUUUCGACAGUUUAAGGCACAAGCGCCGGUCGACUGAGCUUUGCCGGUAGGGUUGUAAUUUCAACCAUACCCAUUGCCCUUCCUCGAAUUCAAACAUUCGUCUCUUCAAAUCCGCGUAUUUCUUCAUUCUAUCUUGAGUCGCUUGCAGAUUGAUCUUUGAUUCCCGUAACAAGGCAUCUCGUUGGUUUAGUAUCACGUCAACCGCCUCGACGUUUGAAUCUCCAGUUCGAUACUCCAUAAUAUCCGGUGGUUUUUUUUUACUAGUAACACCGGUGACGAGAAUGGACUUACGCUGUGCCGGUACGGGUGAACAUUAACUGGCUCCACUCCCGCUUUUAACGCAAUGUGAUGAUUUGUUGUUCGGUCCGGUGGUAGCUUUUUAGGUUCGGCCAGAACAUCUUCGAACUCUUUAAGCAAUUCUUCCAGCCCUGGUACUUCUUUAGGUUCUCCCGGAUCACCAUUCUCGCUUCUCAAAUGGCAAAAGUAGGCUACUUCUUUUCUUGCCACCAACUUCCUUAGCCCCGAUUUUGUAAUUUCAGAUUCGGACAAGUGGGGGUCCCCUUGUAACAGUAUUCGUUGAUUGCCUCUCGUAAAUUCCAUCGUAAGUUCUUUGUGAUUAGUUGUAACUGCACCCAAUUUCUCUAACCACUGAAUUCCCAAUACUAUAUUCGUGCCUCCCAUUGAUAACACAAACAGAUCUUCAACUAUCCCUGUGUUUUGAAUUGUUAUUGAAACUUGGCGACAUACCUCUUUACAAAUCAGAUAUUCUCCACUUCCAAUGAAAACUCGGAAUUCCGGUAAUGUCUGUACUUCAUACCCCAAACGAUUCACCACAGACUCCUGAAUGAAAUUGUGGGUACUCCCACUGUCGAUUAAUAUAGAUAGUGGCCGGCCUUGUAUCCAGCCCGUGAGUCUGAUCGUGCGCGGAUUGAAAGUUCCCGCAAAGGCAUGUAGACUGAUUUCGGUUGUGGUUACGGACUCGUCUGUUCCUGAUUCAGUAUUUAUUUCAUCUUCUUGAUUAAAGAUCUCCACCAAACAAUCAUUAUCCACGCUCAUCCGAAAUAGCCGCCCUUUACACCGAUGUCCCGGCGUAUAAGAUUCAUCACAGUUAAAACACAACCCUUUGGCCGUGCGUUCUUUACGUUCUUCUACCGUCAACAUUUUCCUUACAAUCGGCAAUGCUUUGGCCCCAGCCGGAGGGUUCUUCAGUAAUGGUUCUGUGUCCGCUCCUGACGACAAAUUUCCCCCAAACUUUGACGGAAAUCUGCGGGCUUCAUGUGCUUUUGCCAACGCAAACGCUCGUCGUAAUGAUAUCGGUUUAGCCAGGUUCAAUUCACUCUUCAGUUCCGGCUUUAGCCCGCUUAUGAAGAAACUGAUUAAUGAAGCUUCGCUUUGCCCGCUCACUUCGUUUAGCAAUUCUUCGAACUUUUCCAGAUAAGAUGCUACCGAGGUAAUCUGCCUGAUUUUGCACAGUUCUUGAAGUUUAUCUUCAUAUACACUUCCUCCGAAUCUCUCCCUCAUAUCUUCUAUAAAACGGUCCCAAGUGGUCAAGAGUUUGUUGCGCCGGAGUCCCCUAAUCCAAGAUAAGGCUGCGCGAGUUAUAUGAAAUCCUGCAAUUUGUAUGCGCGAAUCGUCGAGUAUGCCGUGGAAUGCAAAAUAUUCUUCGGCUUGAUAAAUCCAUCCUUCCGGAUCUAUUCCAGUGAAUUUUGGUAGGUCUAAUUUGAUUGAUCUUGAUACCCUGUUUGCUGCUCCAUCUGGAUCGGCCUGGUUCCGAUUUCCCCCUAACAUUGCUUGAAUGUCUCUGACCAUCCCAGUCAGCUCCGCGACCCGCCCGGAUAGGCUUGCUAUCGACGCGUCCUGUCGUCGUGUGACCUCCGUGAACUUCGACGUCUGGUCGGUCAGUACGAUGCCGAUCUCAUGCCGGAUUUCGUCAAACCCAUUGCUUGCUUCAUCCGUUUCUGUCAUGUUAAUAAUUUUUGAAAUUUAAUAUCAAUAAAAUGAAAUUUUUAGUUACUGACACGAUGUGCUUCCCUCUUGCGGAUCCAGUCAAGGCCUGGAACGAGCCUUGGCGAGUAAAUGAUUAUAGUCGUUUCCGACUGUGGUGGUCUGCUUUUAUUUUGAAGAAGCCGAUCGCCUAAUUCAUUGAAAGCACCAUUGUUACGUUUUGCCAACGUAGAGGCGUAGACACGAGAAGAAAUCCCCCGAAGGAGCCGGUGGUUGGGAAAGAAUCUCCCUAGGGAGCCGGUGAAGAAGAACGGAGUUGGUUUGCCAAAAUAGUCGAUGAUCGUUAUAGACGAUCCUCUUCUUUAUUUAAAUGGUUGUUUGUCCAAUACUAGUUUGCCAAGUGGCUUAUACAAUUUGUAAUUGGUUAUUAACUGAAAUUAGUUAGAAUUUAUAUUCAUAAUCUUUGCUGCGAUUGCUUUGCUUGACCCGGCUGGAUCGUCGGCGUUUCACCUCGCCGAUGUCAUCCUGCUCCCUCCUGUCCUCGCUUGUGGUUGCUACGUUAAUCCCCAGCUCUUCUCGAAGCUUCUGCACUACCUUGACUAUGUCUAGUUUGACUGUAACAUACUACCCUUCUAGCCCCGACCAAACUACCAUCAAUCAAUUAAUUUACUGAACUACCACCCAACAAAU
rnacentral:lncRNA from 1 species